UCCAGGUAUCUUGCUCACACUUGGACUUAAGCUAUGCUUUGUUCCUGUUUUAUUCAGUUUAUUUUUUGACAGUCACACCUGUAUUUAUGAUGCAUUCUGGUUGCUCUGACUCCCGUCCUUGUCAGCUUUCCCUACAUGCCCCUUUCCCACACCCGUGACUCUGGUUUCACCACAGAUUUUAACCAGGACUGUCAGUGUCCACCCUUGGGUGCGUAACUGAAAAUAACGACUGGCCUUGCUUUAGCCAGCAGGCUCAGGGCUCCUCCAGCUCCUCCCUGACCCAUGGUUGACAGGCCCCCUUUGCUGUGAAGUCACCCCUACAGUGGCCGCCCCGCACUGUGAAGUUCUGGACUCAGACCCAGGGUCUUGUACAAGGACUCCAUCACUGAACUACACCCCACCUCCAGAUCCAGGCCCAGAAAAUGACACUCUAAAGGUUCAAGAUACAGCACUUUGACAUGAUAAAUACUUUGACCUAAAGAGGAGCGAUUAGAACCAACCACCAGAGGAGCUUUUUCGGAAGUCUUCUAUCUAAAGGCUGGUCUUCCAGACGAUUCACUCACAAGAAGAAGACAAGAGUUGACCACCACAGCCUGAGUCAAGGCAAACUUUAUCCAGACAAAUUUGGUUCAAUUUAACCUAAAAGUGCCUCCAGCGUCUCUCUUUUCCUUAUGGAGAGGACAAACACACUUCUAAACCUCACUGUUGGGGUCCCGCUCUUUGGCAUGUGAUAAAUUGGGUGCCUUUGCUCUGAUUGGUUUGUCUACUGCCCACCUACUUCUCAGGAUGGUUAGGAAACCUCCAGUGGGGGAGAAAAAACAGAACCCCCUGGAGGGAAAGAAAGAGUCCUCUCGCUUCUAGACACAUAAGCAGAGGCUGUGUUCCUCGUCUGUACCACCAGAUCUGACCUGUGACUUGAUGCUCCAUACUGUGACCCAAAGGAAUGAAUAUUCGGUAACUUUUAUGAGCUUCAGAAUGCCCAGCAUACACCUGGAGGUCAAUAAGAGACCAACGAGAUCAUGAGUUAGCAGGUGUUCAGAGACUAUAAGACACACACAUACGCAUACACAUACACACACACACUUUGGUUACAGCUCCCCCCAUUAGGAAACUUGAUAUUGAGGGCAAGAAUGUGUCUGUCCUCUAAAUAUGUGCAUGUGAACUCCUACUCAAGAAUAUAUGUGACAUGUGGCCAGCAAGAUGGCUUAGUGGGUAAAGGCACCGCUGUGAAGCCUUAUGACCUGAGCUCAAUCCUCGGACACAUCUGGUGGACAAGCAACUCCCCUUCAGCUUACCCUCUGUCCCCACGUGCAUGUAUGUCAUGAUGCUCCUUUCCCACAAAUAAUAAAUAAAUAAAUGUAA